rnacentral:tRNA from 2 species
GCCCUCGUAGCUCAAUGGUAGAGCGCGUCACUAGUAUACAAUAGUUCAUGACGAGGUUGCCGGUUCGAUUCCGUCCGAGGGCA